CUAGCCGAGAGCCCGCCCCUGCCAGGGCAGGGCAGGGCCCCUCCGCGCGGAGAGCGGGGGCUGCACCGAGCCACGCCAGUGUGCCUAGGGCCGGGCGGGGUGAGACCCCCGCGACCGACCCCCCCCACCUCAUAGCAGCGCCCUGCGACUGACCCCCGCAGCCCCCUGUCACUGUCACCCCUGGGUUUCAAGCGGUGCCUGGAGCAAAGGGAGGGGACUUCGGAGCCCACUGACAAUUAGCAGCGUGCUAACAAUUUAACAACAACACUAACCUAUUGCAAUCGUUUAACCCUGGGGUCAAUUGACACUCCGCAGAACGGGCGCCGCCGCCCUUGCCCUCGCUCAUUGUAUCGCUGCUGGGGGAGCGUGGGUCCGGAAUACGUUGCUUUGCCCCUUUGUCAUGUAACCACCACAUUGCAUUAUCGCUGAGUCAACAGCAUUGCUAUGAUCUUGGUGUCACAAGAGUAAGUUUCUGGGACCACAGGGAUUGCCAGAGCAAAACAGAGCCCCUAGGAGAGACUUUGUGCUAACUGGGCAAGAACAACUAUAUUGACUGACUCCUGAAGUGAGAAGAGAGUAGGGUUAUAAAGGAGAAAUAACAGGCUCAACAGGAACGUGUGGAUCAUGUGUUGAUUAGCAAGAAUUUAAGGACCAUGUGUUGAUUGGUAUUCAAGUCUGAGGCAGCUGCAGCAAUGGAGAAGUAAUCUUGAGAUAUCUGAGGAGGAAAAAAACUACAAAACAAAAUCAAUAAAUACAAUUAUGAACCUGCA